GCUUGUCUUCGUGGGGUGCUGCUACCACGCCAUUUGGCUGCUGGGCUGCGUGCUCUUCUUCGCAUUCCUGGGGUAGCUCACUGCAAGAACCGGGAUGAACUCAAAAUCUUUCCUUCGAAACGCGUGAAUUUUGAAAGAAUUUAGUUUUGGAAAAAUUCUCACAAAAUUCUGCCGGUUUUGGAGGACAUUUCGCACGCACUCGACAUAUAUAUGCUGCUAAUUACUCCUAUUUUUCCAUGUUUGGUUUGUGCUGGUUUUUUUUUCUUUUUUUGGGUGCGUAGUGCAUGUUUCCGAUUUUAGCUUGGGAAACAGAAGUUGUAGUCAGGUUACCUGAAUUUAUCUUGGAAACCUGAAUUAAUAUUGGCACCACUCCUGUAAUUCUGUGAUGAUGGCAUUGGCACUGAUCGUCAUCUAUCACUAGUAUAGUUGAAUAGUCUUCGCCAUGUGUUUGUUACCAUCGUUAAUUAUUUGUUCUUAAGGAUAUAUAGUUAUAUAUCAUCAUCAUAAAUACUCCCUCCG
rnacentral:lncRNA from 1 species